rnacentral:rRNA from 1 species
UACGGAGGGGGCUAGCGUUGUUCGGAAUUACUGGGCGUAAAGCGCACGUAGGCGGCUUUGUAAGUUAGAGGUGAAAGCCCGGAGCUCAACUCCGGAAUAGCCUUUAAGACUGCAUCGCUAGAACGUUGGAGAGGUAAGUGGAAUUCCGAGUGUAGAGGUGAAAUUCGUAGAUAUUCGGAAGAACACCAGUGGCGAAGGCGGCUUCCUGGACACCAACUGACGCUGAGACGCGAAAGCGUGGGGAGCAAACAGG